rnacentral:lncRNA from 1 species
CGGGGAGGCGCCCCUGAGUGUGACCACCAGUGAUGUGCAUGAGACUGAGAGGCACGGGUCCCACUGGGAAACAUCUUCUGGAGAGAAAUGCUCAGGUGCCCAAGGACAGAGGGCAAAGGCAGCCUCUUCCCACAGUCUGCACCAAGGGUGGAAGAGGGUUAAAAGAAGGAUGGGCAAUUGCAUGCGGAGACUGUGCUGUUGCCUGCCAGCCCAACAGACAAGCCAGGUUUUCCAGAAGAAAGUGACUCCAGUGGAGGGGAAGGCAACGGAGUCACACAAAGUGAGCUUUGAGCCUCUGUGUACGUUGACACACGGGAUUGGGGUCAGCCUGAUAGAGACUGAGACCGCUUCACCAGGAGCCAUAUAGGAAGUUCUGGUGGCCAGAGGCCUCAGCCCUGCAGUGGAGCAGGUUUCUGGCCCUGAGAGAUGGUUUUUCACAUGGGAGAGGAGGAACCUGUGAUCCUAGGUUGAUGGAUGGACCUGUUGGGGCCAGCAGACCCAGCCAGCCCUGCUGCAUGCUGGUCCAACGAAUCAGGAAAGAAAG